GUAAACUAUUGUGCUGGGCCAUAACCUUACCUUUCUCACCAAUUAGCUAGUUAGCUAGGCACCGUGUGCUUAACCUAAUAUCACGCUAGGAGAUUAUAGCUAACAGUAGUGGGGUUCUUAGAACUGUUUAAGCAUCGCCAUUAUUUUGCAGCUUCUAGGCAGUGCCUGUGGCUAAACUGCUAGUAGAUUAUACUUUAUUGAAAGGGGCAAAUUUCUGCUGGCCUCACUUGAUUUGUAUGCAAAGUUUAACUCCUACUGGGGUUGAGUGUGACAAAAAGAUAAUAUAGUUUGCCUACCUUGCUUAAACAAAUUUUAAUUAUCUAUUAAACCACCGACAUGCUACUAUUGCAUCUAUUAAUUCUAGUAAAAAAAUAUCAGAUGUCAAGUACCAGAGUUUGAAAUGUUAUCAGUCACAACAUAUCAACAUGUGGGAAGAUACAGCUAUUGAAUAAUUGCAAUUAUGGACAGCUCCAAAAGAAAUUAGGGCAGAUCCAAUAUGAGUGCUUAUUUCAACAUAUCAAGAACAUUUGAAGGACAUGCUGAGUUGGUAUAGUAGCAAACAGAAAUGAUCCAUUGGCUUUAGUCAUUGUUAUGAACCUAGUUGACACUGACACUAUUUGGUUGGAAACCAGUCCUUGCUUUGAUUUCUGUGGUGCAAAAUGAGAAUCUCAGCAGCAUCUCAGUAAGAUUAACUGGGUGACUUGAUUGUGAUUGUUGAGACUAUCAUAGUACAAAUCCGGGUUCGCUGGAAUAAUAUAUGUAGAAUAAAGACAAUAGAGUUACCUUGUCAUGUCCAUGUUCGUGGCCAACUAACACCACAUGUAAUGUUUUCAUUGCUGUACCCACUUCAGUCCUUGAAUAUAUAAACAUCAGUGUUUCCUUUCUCAGAUAUCGUUGUCUGUGAUUUUCCUUACUGUAGAUGAUCAGGGCAUGGAUAGGUGCUGACCAAAAGUUACAGCUCGGGAUGGAGCUAGUAAAAUAUUGGUAAUGAAAAAGGAGAGGAGGAAAAGAAAAGAAAAGAAAAGAGAAGAGAAGCAUAGGAUAAGCUGGCAAAGGUCUAUCUUGCAAGGCGCACAGUAUUUCCUCGUUUUGAGGGGAGCAAGGUCCAUCAAUGGACGAUCUGAGGAUAGGCCUGAAAACUGACGACACCACCUAGGCCAGAAUGAUAAGACCUGAAUUAUUGGAGAGGACUUCGCUUGUGCUUGCUCCACAUGCAUAGAUGCAUGAAUCCAUCCGAUGCCUGUCCACACCAGUCUUCAAAGUUAUGUCAAAUCAGGAAUAAAAUAGGUAGGGAAAAGCAAUCCUGUACCUCCAUUAAGUAGUACAAUAAUGCUAGAUACCAUAACUAGCUUAUCCUCUUACACAGUUUACUGUAGACUGAUGUUGCAGGGCAAUUAAAAACAUAAGAUUGAAAAUACCAGGGCAAAUGAGCUAGUAGUAAACUGAGGUGCCGGGUGCGCGAAAGCUUCUUCUAGUCGAAAGAUGUACAUACUUUAAGACUCUUCAUUCAUGAGCAGCAUUUCUGAUUAAAUUUUGCGCCAUCUUUUCGUUCUUACAUUGUACCUGCCUACAUGCUGGGUCCGGAACUUAUUUUAUUAUUGUUAAUAGCAUAACAAUUAUAUUGUCACUAAUAAUUUAAUGUCUGCUUCCUGAUGGGCAAACAAAGGUGACACUUGAAGUCGACAUGCUGAGCUAUCAUGAGAUCAAGUGUAGGAAGAGAUAUACAUAAAGCAGACCCAGUAUAUGGAGACCGAGAUCCUUUGCAUAUGAUCGCAGAAUAUGUUUGGAAAAUAAGACAUAUUGGUCCAAGAAGACUUUAGUGAAGCAAGAAAAAA